rnacentral:rRNA from 1 species
AACGUAGGUUCCGAGCGUUAUCCGGAUUUAUUGGGCGUAAAGAGCGUGUAGGCGGCCAGAUAAGUCCGCUGUGAAAUCUCGAGGCUCAACUUCGAGCUGCCGGUGGAAACUAUCUGGCUAGAGUCCGGAAGAGGAGAAUGGAAUUCCUGGUGUAGCGGUGAAAUGCGCAGAUAUCAGGAAGAACACCCGUGGCGAAGGCGGUUCUCUGGGACGGUACUGACGCUGAGACGCGAAAGCGUGGGGAGCGAACAGG